UUAACUCAAAUUUGUAUGCAGUUGGAACAGCGUCCCUAGCGGCAAACAUAGGCAAACGUUCCAACUCCAUUAAAAUUUGAGUUA
rnacentral:pre_miRNA from 1 species